rnacentral:rRNA from 1 species
ACAGGGNAUCAUUCCGCCAUGGACNCCCGGUCUGANAGAGCAACGCCGCGUGAGUGAAGAAGGCUUUCGGGUCGUAAAACUCUGUUGUUGGAGAAGAAUGGUCGGCAGAGUAACUGUUGUCGGCGUGACGGUAUCCAACCAGAAAGCCACGGCUAACUACGGGCCAGCAGCCGCGGUAAUACAAAA